rnacentral:rRNA from 1 species
CCUACGGGCGGCAGCAGUGAGGAAUAUUGGUCAAUGGGCGAGAGCCUGAACCAGCCAAGUCGCGUGAAGGAUGACGGCCCUACGGGUUGUAAACUUCUUUUGUCAGGGAGCAAAUGGGUCCACGCGUGGGCUUAGCGAGAGUACCUGAAGAAAAAGCAUCGGCAAACUCCGUGCCAGCAGCCGCGGUAAUACGGGGGAGGCGAGCGUUAUCCGGAUUUAUGGGGUUAAAGGGGUGUGUAGGCGGAAUAUCAGGUCAGCGGGAAAAAUUCGGGGCUCAACCCCGUCGUGCCGUUGAAACUGGUGUUCUUGAGUGGGCGAGAAGUAUGCGGAAUGCGUGGUGUAGCGGUGAAAUGCAUAGAUAUCACGAAGAACUCCGAUUGCGAAGGCAGCAUACCGGCGCCCAACUGACACUGAAGCACGAAAGCGUGGGUAUCGAACAGGAUUAGAUACCCUGGUAGUC